ACAGAAAACGAGGCCGCGCCUGGAGGAAGUCGGACUGCGCCCGCCUAGGAAGCACGCCGCAAGGCACCACCAGAAAGCCCACCCACCCCGUCACCACGGUUGAAGAGUUGCAUCGAAACUGUGUGCAGACGCAUCACCACUCUGAAACUGUGGUCACUACUGAUACAUUACUCUGAGAAGAGAGCCGGAAGGUUUUCCAGAUCGCCAAGGCGCCCACGGCCCACGAACGUCAGCCAGCGCCUGCCCCGCUCGUCCGUGCUGCGGCGCCCCCGUCUCUGCGCCCGUGACUCGCAGCUGCACCCAGGUCCUUCCCUUUCUCUGUUCGAAUUGCUUCAGCGUCGAGCCGUGCUUCUCGGGAGCGUAACUCUGACCGCGGCAGAGAAGCCCGGCCCUCUCUGAGAGCACAGGUGAAGCGACGGGGCGGAUCCACCCU